rnacentral:rRNA from 1 species
AUUGAACGCUGGCGGCAUGCCUUACACAUGCAAGUCGAACGGCAGCGGACCUUCGGGUGCCGGCGAGUGGCGAACGGGUGAGUAAUGCAUCGGAACGUACCUUUCAGUGGGGGAUAACGUAGCGAAAGUUACGCUAAUACCGCAUAUUCUGUGAGCAGGAAAGCAGGGGAUCGCAAGACCUUGCGCUGAUUGAGCGGCCGAUGUCAGAUUAGCUAGUUGGUGAGGUAAGGGCUCACCAAGGCGACGAUCUGUAGCGGGUCUGAGAGGAUGAUCCGCCACACUGGGACUGAGACACGGCCCAGACUCCUACGGGAGGCAGCAGUGGGGAAUUUUGGACAAUGGGGGCAACCCUGAUCCAGCCAUGCCGCGUGAGUGAAGAAGGCCUUCGGGUUGUAAAGCUCUCUCGGCCGGGAAGAAAUCGCACAGGCUAAUACCUUGUGUGGAUGACGGUACCGGAAUAAGAAGCACCGGCUAACUACGUGCCAGCAGCCGCCGUAACAC